rnacentral:rRNA from 1 species
AACGAACGCUGGCGGCAUGCCUAACACAUGCAAGUCGAACGAGACCUUCGGGUCUAGUGGCGCACGGGUGCGUAACGCGUGGGAACCUGCCCUUAGGUUCGGAAUAACUCCCCGAAAGGGGUGCUAAUACCGGAUAAUGUCUUCGGACCAAAGAUUUAUCGCCUUUGGAUGGGCCCGCGUUGGAUUAGCUAGUUGGUAGGGUAAAAGCCUACCAAGGCGACGAUCCAUAGCUGGUCUGAGAGGAUGAUCAGCCACACUGGGACUGAGACACGGCCCAGACUCCUACGGGAGGCAGCAGUGGGGAAUAUUGGACAAUGGGCGAAAGCCUGAUCCAGCAAUGCCGCGUGAGUGAAGAAGGCCUUAGGGUUGUAAAGCUCUUUUACCCGGGAUGAUAAUGACAGUACCGGGAGAAUAAGCUCCGGCUAACUCCGU